UAAAGGAUUAAUCUGGCCCCAGAUGU
rnacentral:piRNA from 1 species